ACUGCCGGUGACAAACCGGAGGAAGGUGGGGAUGACGUCAAGUCCUCAUGGCCCUUAUGGGUAGGGCUUCACACGUCAUACAAUGGUCGGUACAGAGGGUUGCCAACCCGGCGAGGGGGAGCCAAUCCCACAAAGCCGGUCGUAGUCCGGAUCGCAGUCUGCAACUCGACUGCGUGAAGUCGGAAUCGCUAGUAAUCGCGGAUCAGCAUGUCGCGGUGAAUACGUUCCCGGGCCUU
rnacentral:rRNA from 1 species